rnacentral:rRNA from 1 species
GACGAACGCUGGCGGCGUGCCUAAUACAUGCAAGUAGAACGCUGAAGAGAGGAGCUUGCUCUUCUUGGAUGAGUUGCGAACGGGUGAGUAACGCGUAGGUAACCUGCCUUGUAGCGGGGGAUAACUAUUGGAAACGAUAGCUAAUACCGCAUAACAAUGGAUGACCCAUGUCAUUUAUUUGAAAGGGGCAAAUGCUCCACUACAAGAUGGACCUGCGUUGUAUUAGCUAGUAGGUGAGGUAACGGCUCACCUAGGCGACGAUACAUAGCCGACCUGAGAGGGUGAUCGGCCACACUGGGACUGAGACACGGCCCAGACUCCUACGGGAGGCAGCAGUAGGGAAUCUUCGGCAAUGGGGGCAACCCUGACCGAGCAACGCCGCGUGAGUGAAGAAGGUUUUCGGAUCGUAAAGCUCUGUUGUAAGUCAAGAACGAGUGUGAGAGUGGAAAGUUCACACUGUGACGGUAGCUUACCAGAAAGGGACGGCUAACUACGUGCCAGCAGCCGCGGUAAUACGUAGGUCCCGAGCGUUGUCCGGAUUUAUUGGGCGUAAAGCGAGCGCAGGCGGUUUGAUAAGUCUGAAGUUAAGGGCUGUGGCUCAACCAUAGUUCGCUUUGGAAACUGUCAAACUUGAGUGCAGAAGGGGAGAGUGGAAUUCCAUGUGUAGCGGUGAAAUGCGUAGAUAUAUGGAGGAACACCGGUGGCGAAAGCGGCUCUCUGGUCUGUAACUGACGCUGAGGCUCGAAAGCGUGGGGAGCGAACAGG